CAUUCAAAUAUCUUUGUUCUUGCUCUAGUAUGCAUCUUUUGUAGUUAUCUCUAUGCAUUUUAAGAAAAUUGAAUCUGGAUUUUGAUUGUGUCCCUGUGAUUCGGUAAAACGCUGCAAUAAAUUUCCUCCAUUCUUUGGAUGCUCUUUUUUGCUAUCUCAUCAAUGUUGAUUGUGUCGAGCCAAAAGUUAGAGGGAGGGGAUGACCAUCAAAAUAUUAAUUUAAGUUUGGUUCCUAGUUAGUGUGUUCAUUCUAAUUAAUGCAGAAAAUUGGGGAUUGGUUAGAGAACCUUUCUUUAUUAUUUUCUAUUUAAGUUGAGUUCAUCUUCUUAUGUAUAUCACUCGUCUGAUUAGUAAGUAAAUUACAAAGUCAUAUGUAUAUGUACAUACGGUAGCUGUAUACCUGAAAUGUAUGUCUUAAUUUUUGUUAUGAUUUGUAAAUAUGAUACAGAUUUUUAAUAAGUUUCCAAGCUCUCAUGUGCUACUUGUCUAUCUGUGUUUCAAACAGAUGUUGUUAGGAUGAAUUGUAUGUGAUAUUUCUGUUACAUGUGAUAUUGUAUGUUGGACUUGAUGCCUUCUACAUUAUUAGUAGAAUGGAAAUGUUAUAUUCAUUGUGCCACUUUCAUCAUCGCCAUUUUUCUACUUGCACUAUAUAUACCAUAUUGACCUGAUUUGUGCCUUCACCAUUUGAUACAAACCACUUUGAGUCCAGAAUAUUACUAAACAUGUUCAAGACUGUAAUUAAGAGUGCCAUUUUCUUAAGUUUUUGGUUAACUUAGUUCAUUCUCUCAUUCUUCUUAUUUUUGCUUGUGGGAUUUUCAGAUUUUACCCUGGGAAGGAGCUUAAUUGCACCGCUUUGGGAAAGAUUUUGUUUGCUUGAAAUUCAAGAGAACAUUGGUGGGGUUGUAUGUUCUGAGAAUUUUGUUGCUUAAUUGGUGGUCUACUUAGAGAGAGUGUUUUGAAUGGUAGUCUCAGUUUUGAGGGGCACUAUAAAGGUGGGUUCUUCAUUUAGGGAAAUCACCAAGGUAAUUACUGUAUUAUUUUAUGAUUCCAGGAUUCAAGCUUCUGAUUUGCUAUUAAUUUCUUCAUUUUGGGAGAUCAAUGACACUCACAUUUAAAAGAACUCAAUGUAUGCAUGCAAAGAUGUUUCAAUAGUGAGUUAGCAUAAUUGUUACUUAGAUAAGUCACUUAGUUAUGUUUGAUAUAGUUACUAACUAAAUGUAAGCAUGCAGACUGUAUAUAAUAGCUGCACCUUGUAUUACAGAUCUAAGAGAAACACACUAAUCAUUUUCCUCUCCGAAUUCUUAGACUGUGAUAACAGUUUUUUUUUUCUUUUUAUUUGUUUCCUAAUAGAACCCGUGGGAUAUCUUUGGGCCAAAAGAGUCACAUAUAACUUCAAUUAUCUUUUAGUGAAUACUUGGAACAUCUCAAGCUCUUCGUUGAUAAGAAGUGAGUGGUUUUUUAUGUUACUCUAGCUCUUUUGAUUAGUUUCAUGUUAACUGCACUUGGAAUACCGCUGACUGGUGAGAGAAUUAGCUCUGUUUUGUUGUUGUCUUUUUUAUCAGUUAUGGUAUUUUGUCCACUCCUAUCUGCUUCAACUUAAAGUGAAUAGGUCCAGUUUUGAAUUAGCUCUAGCUUGUAGCUUUUUCAACUUAGGUGAGUAUGUAGAAGAAGACUUGUAAUUUUUCUAUGAUCAUUUUCACUUUAGGGAUUCUUACACAUUUCCACCUUACCCUGGGCUUUCUGAGUUUAAUGUUGUAUUUUGUGCUUGAAAGGUUCUUAAUGGAAAGAGAAAGUAGAGUCUGGAAGUGGAACUUUAGCUGUGCUACAAAGCUCAGUCCUGAGUAUCUUAGCAGCUAGUUGUUGAAACAGCUGAAUCCAGAGCUUUGAAAGCUUUGAUUCAAGCAAAAGAAACUGCAAUGGUUGAACUAUAAAAGGAGUUGACAGAAGUGAGAUUGCUUACUAUUCCCUUGUAUGUUUUUUCUUAUCUUUUGUGCCUUUAUCUUCAUGGGUCAGUGUAUUCUAAUUAGUUUGUUGCAUGUUUUGUUAUAGCUUUGUCACGUCUAAAUCAAAUAUUUUCUUUUCUUUUACUUAUAAUUUGAGUCCCCCUUGUAAGAUAAGGAGUUUUGGAUGUGGUGUUUUUAGUGAUAUGGUGUCCCUACAUAUCCCUUUGAAGUUUGAAGUUAGAUGAUUUUGUUCUAUCCUAAUUGUGUUGCUCUGCUGCAUAUUAACAAGGAAUCCAUGUGAUUGAUGAUAAGUCUAGUGGAGCUUUCACUUGUUAAUCACCUCAACAUACCCAUGAAGAUGAAGAUGAAGAUGAAGAUGAAGAUGAAGAUGAAGAUGAAGAUGAAGAUGAAGAUGAAGAUGAUCAUUAUACCUCAUUUUAAUAUGUUACUCAUUUUCUUUGCUUUUAAGUAUUAGAUAUUUGGACAUUUAAUUUUUAUAACAUUUAAUAUUUUGCUUUGCUUUUAAGUCUUAAAUACUACCCCAUUUAUAUGUACCCUAUUUUUCCACACUUGUUUGCUUAUGUUUCAAUUUUAAAAAAUUGUCUAUUGAAUA